rnacentral:rRNA from 3 species
AGGAUACGGUUAACGGAGCGAAAGCGACGUUCAACCUCAAAAGAAGCAGAGGGGGCUUAGUGGUGGGGUGACUGCGUACCUUUUGUAUAAUGGGUCAGCGACUUAUAUUCUGUAGCAAGGUUAACCGCAUAGGGGAGCCGGAGGGAAACCGAGUCUUAAUUGGGCGUUAAGUUGCAGGGUAUAGACCCGAAACCCGGUGAUCUAGCCAUGGGCAGGUUGAAGGUUGGGUAACACUAACUGGAGGACCGAACCGAC